CCUACGGGUGGCAGCAGUGGGGAAUAUUGGACAAUGGGCGAAAGCCUGAUCCAGCCAUGCCGCGUGUGUGAAGAAGGCCUUCGGGUUGUAAAGCACUUUCAGUGGGGAAGAAAGCCUUGGGGCUAAUACCCUCGAGGAAGGACAUCACCCACAGAAGAAGCACCGGCUAACUCCGUGCCAGCAGCCGCGGUAAUACGGAGGGUGCGAGAGUUAAUCGGAAUUACUGGGCGUAAAGCGCGCGUAGGCGGUCUGAUAAGCCGGUUGUGAAAGCCCCGGGCUCAACCUGGGAACGGCAUCCGGAACUGUCAGGCUAGAGUGCAGGAGAGGAAGGUAGAAUUCCCGGUGUAGCGGUGAAAUGCGUAGAGAUCGGGAGGAAUACCAGUGGCGAAGGCGGCCUUCUGGACUGACUCUGACGCUGAGGUGCGAAAGCGUGGGUAGCAAACAGGAUUAGAUACCCCAGUCGUC
rnacentral:rRNA from 1 species